rnacentral:rRNA from 1 species
UACGUAGGGUGCAAGCGUUGUCCGGAAUUAUUGGGCGUAAAGAGCUCGUAGGCGGUCUGUCGCGUCUGCUGUGAAAACUCGGGGCUUAACCCCGGGCCUGCAGUGGGUACGGGCAGACUAGAGUGCGGUAGGGGAGACUGGAAUUCCUGGUGUAGCGGUGAAAUGCGCAGAUAUCGGGAGGAACACCAGUAGCGAAGGCGGCACUCUGGGCCGGUACUGACGCUGAGGAGCGAAAGCGUGGGGAGCGAACAGG